rnacentral:ncRNA from 1 species
CUGAGCGCAGUGCGGUGAAAGUCGCACGCUGCGUUCUUUGGGGGCGGGGCCAUAGUGAUAUGGUCCUGCUACCCGAC